GGAAAAGAAACUAACAAGGAUUCCCCUAGUAACGGCGAGCGAAGCGGGAAGAGCUCAAAUUUGAAAUCUGGUGGCCUCAGGUCAUCCGAGUUGUAAUCUAUAGAAGUGUUUUCCGUGCUGGCCCAUGUACAAGUCCCUUGGAACAGGGCGUCAUAGAGGGUGAGAAUCCCGUCCUUGACAUGGACUACCAGUGCUCUGUGAUACACUUUCAACGAGUCGAGUUGUUUGGGAAUGCAGCUCAAAAUGGGUGGUAAAUUCCAUCUAAAGCUAAAUAUUGGCGAGAGACCGAUAGCGAACAAGUACCGUGAGGGAAAGAUGAAAAGCACUUUGGAAAGAGAGUUAAACAGUAUGUGAAAUUGUUGAAAGGGAAACGAUUGAAGUCAGUCGUGCUCAAUGGACUCAGCCGUUCUGCGGUGUAUUUCCAUUGGGUGGGGUCAACAUCAGUUUUGAUCGCUGGAUAAAGGCAGGAGGAAUGUAGCACCCCCGGGUGAACUUAUAGCCUCUUGUCACAUACAGUGGUUGGGACUGAGGAACGCAGCAUGCCUUUAUGGCCGGGAUUCGUCCACGUACAUGCUUAGGAUGUUGACAUAAUG
rnacentral:rRNA from 1 species